AUAUAUUUUUUUCCAACAUAUAACUCAUAUAAGGAAUGCAUUGAUGAUUACAUUUUAACUAUAAUAUAGUUACAACAUUUAACACGCGUUUAACAACUAUACGCCCAUAUUUAAUAAAAAAUUAUCUAGGAAAUAUUUAAAAAAAAAAUAAAACUAUAUUUAACUAAAAAAAAUCAACAAUGCCA